rnacentral:rRNA from 1 species
CUGGUUGAUCCUGCCAGUAGUCAUAUGCUUGUCUCAAAGAUUAAGCCAUGCAUGUCUAAGUAUAAGCAAUUAUACCGCGAAACUGCGAAUGGCUCAUUAUACAAGUUAUCGUUUAUUUGAUAGCACAUUUACCUACUUGGAUAACCGUGGUAAUUCUAGAGCUAAUACAUGCUAAAAAUCCCGACUUCGGAAGGGAUGUAUUUAUUAGAUUAAAAGCCAACGCCCUUCGGGGCUUCUUGGUGAUUCAUGAUAACUGGUCGAAUCGCAUGGCCUUGCGCCGGCGAUGGUUCAUUCAAAUUUCUUCCCUAUCAACUUUCGAUGCGAAGGUCUUGUCUUCGCAUGGUUGCAACGGGUAACGGAGGGUUAGGGCUCGGCCCCGGAGAAGGAGCCUGAGAAACGGCUACUACAUCCAAGGAAGGCAGCAGGCGCGCAAAUUACCCAAUCCCGACACGGGGAGGUAGUGACAAUAAAUACUGAUACAGAGCUCUUUUGGGUCUUGUAAUCGGAAUGAGUACAAUUUAAAUCCCUUAACGAGGAACAAUUGGAGGGCAAGUCUGG